GACGAACGCUGGCGGCGUGCCUAAUACAUGCAAGUCGAGCGGACGGGCGAGGAUCUUGUGGCGCUGAUGUGAGCCGCGGGCGUGUGAGUAACGCGUGUAUAAUCUACCUAUAAUAGGGAUAUAACUUGGGAAAACGGGAGCUAAUACCGUAUGAGAUCUUGAACCACAGUGUUCAAUGGUGAAAGACGGUCUUGCUGGCACGUCUAGAGGCAUCUCCGCUUCUUUAGCUGGUUGUGAAGGUAACGGCUUACCAAGGCAACGAUGCAUAGCCGACGUGAGAGAGUGAUCGGCCACCUGGGAAGGGGACCGCGGUCAAGGGUCCUAAGGGAGGGAGCAGACGGCAACGUUCGGCAAUGGGGGAAAGCAUGACGGAGCAAGGCGGCGUGAGUGAUGAAGGUCUUCGGAUCGUAAAACUCUGUUAUUAGGGAAGAACAUAUGUGUAAGUAAAUGUGCACAUAGUGACGGUAACUAAUAAGAAAGCAACGGCUAACUACGUG
rnacentral:rRNA from 1 species